rnacentral:lncRNA from 1 species
UUUGAAAUGAAACAACAAAAUAACAUUUUUAAAUCAGAAAUCAAUGUUUGAUUCUGCAGAUCACAAUUAAGAAGUUCACUCAUUUUCAGAAUGGUUGGAGUAAAAUCGAAGUUAAAGCUACAGACAUUUCAAGGUCCCUGAAGAUGUUUCCUACUUUUCAGUGGGAGUUCUUUGAACAAUUUUCCUCCCUAUUCACACAAGUAGUACAUGGUUGAAAGCAAAUAAAUG